rnacentral:lncRNA from 1 species
UGUUAAUACAUAUCAAAUGUGGAAAUUGUAUGAGUUGAGUUUCUUUUUGUUGCUGGGCAUGAAGAGAGGACAGGCUUCAAGAGGCAUCAUCGACAUCCCAACUAGGUUGGCACCUCGGGAAACCUCCAUCCUACGCCGCCAAACUCUAAAAAUUUAUUAAAUAAAGGGAAAAAUAUGUACAAAAGGAGGGGGGGACUAGGCCAAAACCCUCCAAAGAAAAAGAACGGAAAAUAAAAAUAAACAACAGUUUGCUAAAAGCUAAGGAAACCUAUAGUUAGGCAAACCAACUCUAUCACGGAAGAAAUCAAGAUGUAACUCCGUCGGGAGUGAGCUGAUCCCAACAAAUCCCUGAAUAGCAUGUCUCAUAUUCGCUACCUAUCAGCACAACAAUUACCUUCGCGAAAAAUAUGAGAUGCAAUGAUCUGAAUGCCAAGACUACAGGCAUUAUACCAUCUGUUCCGAAGCAGCAAAGGAACUAAAGAAGGAUUCGAAAAAAUUAAAAUAGCACUUGAGGAGUCACUUUCCAACCAAACAUUUCGCCAUCCAUGAUGAGCCGCAUGCUCCAUAGCUAGAAUGAAAGCCAAGACUUCCGAAUGGAACACAGAAGCAGCACCGAUAUUACCAACGAAAGCACCAAGAAAAGAUCCACGGGAGUCCUGAAAAAGGCCCCCACAGGUACGGUAGUGUGCAGGCAUCGUGAAAGAAUCAAGUAAAGUAGAGUCUGUGUGCAAGUACUUCCCCACCGAAGCUUUACUCAACAUGACCACCAAGGAAUGAAUUUUCACCUUUGCGGAUUGAACAUUAGCUGCAUUAGAAGAAAAUCGGAUAGAAUUGCGCGAUAGCCUAAUAGUGUGAAUCGUAUGAAUGACUGCUACAAGGAAUAAAUCUACAAUCUGAGAAGAGCACCGAGUAGGAAUACAAGAAAGGAGAGAGAGCGUUGAAGCACACUCUAUCACGCAAUUGAGCUUUCCACCCAGCCAAGUCCAAAGUUCCUUUGCAAACGGGCACUGAAGAAAUAAAUGAUACGAGGAUUCGUCGGUAUUCAAGCAAAAGCAACAAGCCGAAACUAUAAUACAACCCCGCGUCCGAAGAUUCUCAUCUGUAGGCAUCGAUCUUUCUAUGCACUAAACGCCAAAAGGUAAAGGAAUGAGAAGGAGGUAUGCACCUCGUUCAAAUUAAGUCCACCCAAGGCAAAAGAGGAUGAGGAACACAUUCUUUGAUGAUAAUGUACUAUCUGUAGAAUAUUGUUUCUUCAAAAGAGGAUGAGGCGGCUUUAAGAAUGCAAACGCAUUCUCAUAAUUCUUCAAAUAUUGUUUCUUUUUUGUUAUAAUUUGUUUCUAACAAAAUCAAAAAGAAAUUCUUGUGUACUUAUUGUUAUUAGUAACCUUUGUUGAAAGUUGUUUUUGGAAUUAAAAUUAUGGUUACAAAGAAUAGAGCAAGGUUUGAACUCUUUAAAGAGUCCUAUUCAAAGAGCUAGGUUUAAC